AUUGAACGCUGGCGGCAGGCCUAACACAUGCAAGUCGAACGAGUGGCGGACGGGUGAGUAAUGUCUGGGCAACUGCCCGAUGGCGGGGGAUAACUACUGGAAACGGUAGCUAAUACCGCAUACUCUCGGAUGUGCCCAGAUGGGAUUAGCUAGUAGGUGGGGUAACGGCUCACCUAGCGGACGGUCCCUAGCUGGUCUGAGAGGAGGACCAGCAAGACUGGAACUGAGACACGGGCCAGACUCCUACGGGAGGCAGCAGUGGGGAAUAUUGCACAAUGGGCGCAAGCCUGAUGCAGCCAUGCCGCGGGUAUGAAGAAGGCCUUCGGGUUGUAAAGUACUUUCAGCGAGGAGGCGUUACUCGCAGAAGAAGCACCGGCUAACUCCGUGCCAGCAGCCGCGGUAAUAC
rnacentral:rRNA from 1 species